CCCUUGCGCUACCUGGUUGAUCCUGCCAGUAGUCAUAUGCUUGUCUCGCAGAUUAAGCCAUGCAUGUCUAAGUGUAAAUAUUUUACAGUGAAACUGCGGAUGGCUCAUUACAACAGUUAUUGUUUGCUUGGAGCAUUUGCUACGGAUAUCCGUGGAAAUCCUACAGUUAAUACGUGUCACCCCAUUGGGGUUUUGCAUAUUACUGUGAACUUUCGGCGAAAUCUUUCGUCAUCCAUGAGCACUUUUAUGCGGGAAUCGCAAUCAGUUGCGAAAGUCCAUCAAAGUUUCUGACCCAUCAGGUUCCGACGGUAAGGUAUUGGCUUACCGUGCCUAUAACGGGUAACGGGGGAUUAGGGUUCGAUCCCGGAGAGGGAGCUUGAGAGAUCGCUACCACAUCUAAGGAAGGCAGCAGGCGCGCAAAUUACCAAUCCCUGACUCAGGGAGGUAGUAAACAGAAAUAAUGACGCACGACUAUGUCGUGCGAUCGGAAUGAAUGGUUUUUAAACAAAACCAUGAAAUCGAUUGGAGGAAAAGUCUGGUGCCAGCACCCGCGGUAAUACCAGCUCCAAUAGCGUAUAUUAUUGUUGUUGCAGUUGAAACGUUCGUAGUCGAACUUUAUCUGCUAAAGUAGUGUGCCAUCGACGAUGAUACUCUACUCUCAGCAGAGAUUGUGCAAGGUUUUGUGUGUUUCACACAUGCUCUUGCAUCUUACUUUGAGUGAAUCGGCGUGUUCCACGCAGGCGUCCGCCUUGAACGAUUUACCAUAGCAUAACCAGAGUAUGGAGGUGUUUCUUUGUUAGUUCGGAAGCAUUUUCGAUACAGAAAAGAACGGUUGAGGGCAUUCGUAUUCAACUGCUAGAGGUGAAAUUCUUUGAUUAGUUGAGGACGAACCAUUGCGAAAGCAUCUGCCAAGGACGUUUCUUUUGAUCAAGAACGAAAGUUAGGUGAUCGAAGAUGAUUAGAUACCGUUGUAGUCCUAACUAUAAACUUUACUAUCCAAGAAUUGGAUUGGUGACUUUACGCCUUUCCAGUGCUUUCUGAGAAAUCAUAAGUCUUUGAGUUCUGGGGGGAGUAUAGUUGCAAGGCCGAAACUUAAAGGAAUUGACGGAAGGGCACCACCAGGAGUGGAACUUGCGGCUUAAUUUGACUCAACACGGAAAACCUUACGAGGAUAAGACAAACGAAGGAUUGACAGAUUGAUCGCUCUUUCUUGAUUGUUUGGGUGGUGGUGCAUGGCCGUUCUUAGUUCGUGGAUUAAUUUGUCUGGUUAAUUCCGUUAACGAACGAGACCUUAACUUGCUAAUUGGGUUUCUGUUAUUGUAUAACUGAACCUGUUAGAGGGACCAUGUGUGUCUAACACAAGGAAGCGUGAGGCAAUAACAGGUCUGUGAUGCCCUUAGAUAUCCUCGGCAGCACGCGUGUUACAAUGAUGGAUAUACUGUGUUACGCUUUUCGAAAGAACGGUGCAAUCAUUAAUAUCUAUCAACCCAGGGAUUGCUUGUUGGAACGUCAAGCAUCAACGAGGAAUUCCUAGUAAGCGCGUAUCAUUAGUUCGCGUUGAUUACGUCCCUGCCCUUUGUACACACCGCCUGUCGCAUCUAUUGAUUAGGUUGUAUCAUGAGUUAGGCGGAGGUUGGACGUGGGAAGCGAUUCCUUCGUACUCCCGAAGCUUUGCAAAUGGUGCUACCCAGAAACAGAUAAAGUCAUAACACGGCAGCUGUAGGUGAACCUGCAGAAGGAUCAAGGGCGAAUUCCACA
rnacentral:rRNA from 1 species